rnacentral:rRNA from 1 species
UAAGGGCGCACGGUGGAUGCCUUGGCACUAGAAGCCGAUGAAGGACGUUACUAACGACGAUAUGCUUUGGGGAGCUGUAAGUAAGCUUUGAUCCAGAGAUUUCCGAAUGGGGAAACCCAGCAUGAGUUAUGUCAUGUUAUCGAUAUGUGAAUACAUAGCAUAUCAGAAGGCACACCCGGAGAACUGAAACAUCUUAGUACCCGGAGGAAGAGAAAGAAAAUUCGAUUCCCUUAGUAGCGGCGAGCGAAACGGGAAGAGCCCAAACCAACAAGCUUGCUUGUUGGGGUUGUAGGACACUCUAUACGGAGUUACAAAGGACGACAUUAGACGAAUCAUCUGGAAAGAUGAAUCAAAGAAGGUAAUAAUCCUGUAGUCGAAAAUGUUGUCUCUCUUGAGUGGAUCCUGAGUACGACGGAGCACGUGAAAUUCCGUCGGAAUCUGGGAGGACCAUCUCCUAAGGCUAAAUACUCUCUAGUGACCGAUAGUGAACCAGUACCGUGAGGGAAAGGUGAAAAGCACCCCGGAAGGGGAGUGAAAUAGAACCUGAAACCGUGUGCUUACAAGUAGUCAGAGCCCGUUAAUGGGUGAUGGCGUGCCUUUUGUAGAAUGAACCGGCGAGUUACGAUUUGAUGCAAGGUUAAGCAGUAAAUGUGGAGCCGUAGCGAAAGCGAGUCUGAAUAGGGCGUUUAGUAUUUGGUCGUAGACCCGAAACCAGGUGAUCUACCCUUGGUCAGGUUGAAGUUCAGGUAACACUGAAUGGAGGACCGAACCGACUUACGUUGAAAAGUGAGCGGAUGAACUGAGGGUAGCGGAGAAAUUCCAAUCGAACCUGGAGAUAGCUGGUUCUCUCCGAAAUAGCUUUAGGGCUAGCCUCAAGUGAUGAUUAUUGGAGGUAGAGCACUGUUUGGACGAGGGGCCCCUCUCGGGUUACCGAAUUCAGACAAACUCCGAAUGCCAAUUAAUUUAACUUGGGAGUCAGAACAUGGGUGAUAAGGUCCGUGUUCGAAAGGGAAACAGCCCAGACCACCAGCUAAGGUCCCAAAAUAUAUGUUAAGUGGAAAAGGAUGUGGCGUUGCCCAGACAACUAGGAUGUUGGCUUAGAAGCAGCCAUCAUUUAAAGAGUGCGUAAUAGCUCACUAGUCGAGUGACACUGCGCCGAAAAUGUACCGGGGCUAAACA